rnacentral:rRNA from 1 species
CCUACGGGAGGCAGCAGUGAGGAAUAUUGGUCAAUGGGCGCGAGCCUGAACCAGCCAAGUAGCGUGAAGGAUGACUGCCCUACGGGUUGUAAACUUCUUUUAUAAAGGAAUAAAGUGAGGCACGUGUGCCUUUUUGUAUGUACUUUAUGAAUAAGGAUCGGCUAACUUCGGGCCAGCAGCGCCGUUAAUACGGAGGAUUCGAGCGUUAUCAGGAUUUAUUGGGUUUAAAGGGAGCGUAGAUGGGUUGUUAAGUCAUUUGUGAAAGUUUGCGGCUCAACCGUAAAAUUGCAAUUGAUACUGGCAGCCUUGAGUACAGUUGAGGUAGGCGGAAUUCGUGGUGUAGCGGUGAAAUGCUUAGAUAUCACGAAGAACUCCGAUUGCGAAGGCAGCCUACUAAACUGCCACUGACAUUGAUGCUCGAAAGUGUGGGUAUCAAACAGGAUUAGAUACCCAGUAGUC